GGACGAACGCUGGCGGCGUGCUUCAUACAUGCAAGUCGAGCGGGGUCCAUCCAGUGGCAACACUGGUGAAGACCUAGCGGCGAACGGGUGAGUAACACGUGAGGAACCUGCCCCAGAGACCGGGAUAACUCUCCGAAAGGAGAGCUAAUACCGGAUGUCCCCAUCGGAUCGCAUGGUCUGAUGAGGAAAUGGAUUCCGCUCUGGGAGGGCCUCGCGGCCUANCAGCUUGUUGGUGAGGUAACGGCUCACCAAGGCAUCGACGGGUAGCUGGUCUGAGAGGACGGUCAGCCACACUGGGACUGAGACACGGCCCAGACUCCUACGGGAGGCAGCAGUGGGAAUAUUGGGCAAUGGGCGCAAGCCUGACCCAGCCCAUGCCGCGUGAGUGAUGAAGG
rnacentral:rRNA from 1 species